AAACUAAUAAUUAUUUAUGGCAUGCUAUACCUCAGCAACUACUAAGUUUUAAUAAUAAUAAACACGUAGGACAUGACCAAUUAUUUACUAAUUGUUCAAUUAAUUAUUUAUGCUAAAUAUAUUAUUAUUUAUGUCACCUCGAAUGGGCGUGAAGUUAGGUAUUAUGAAAGCAUCACAUAUUGACCCCACUUGGCCAAACAACAUGGAUUACAUUGAUGGAGGACCUAAUCCAUCCAUUAAUCUGUCGUUUACGUGUCAGAUGUGUGAUUGGCCUCCAUCGUAAAUCUGGGUGGACCACUCAAAUAAAAUAAAAACGGGGUCUUAAUCACAAGAAAAAGAUUUUGAAGGAUUGUGAGGAACAAAAUGGAAGUUAUUGUCCAAUCCCCACAAAGAAAAAGUUAUCAUGCUUUGUAGACUCUUUUGCACACCACUUCAUUAUAAAAGCUAGGACCACGGGACAACAUACACAUAUAUAUAUAUAUAUAUAUAUAUAUAUAUUCAAAAUAGACUAGUGGCGAUGACGUGAUGGUGUGAUGUUGUGUAUUAAACUUUUAAAGUUUCCCCCCCCAAGUUAUCAACAAUUAUAUUUAUAUCUUUUGAAAAUCUAAAUUUUGUAAAAGGAUAUUUUUGGGAUAAAAAAAGUGCGAACUGACUUUAAGUUUGUGCUUACACCAAGUGUGGUGCAGCCUUUUAAUAUAUAUAUGAUAUUUUAUGCUUCAUAAUUAUUUUACAUGUAACAUCAUCGGAAAUGCUAUGGGUACACCCAAUUUACACCCCAAAUACACACCUGAUGAGGUAGAGCAUUUAGAUUGGCUGAAAAAACUGAGUAUAUCCCAGCCAGCCAUCGAAAUAUUCAACCUCAUCAAAUGUGCACGUUUAAAAUACAAGUUGGGUGUACCCAUAACGUUACUAGUAACAUAAGUGUGUUUUGGAAGCUAACUGAAUCGUAAUAAUUUGAUUUAGGCUUUUGACAACUUACCUGCAGCUACCCACCUUAAAAGAUCAAUUGAAGCAAAUUGGUCCUCAAAUUUUAUUCCGUUGUAGCAAUUUUGAUCCCUAAACUAGCUUCCAUUCACAUCACCAUCCUUCUUCACACAAGUAGGUUACACUUUUUCUUCUUAAUUUUUUCACUUAAGCCCUCAAUGUUUUUUCUCCAAUCGUGUUCUCAAAGUUUCUAAUUGUCCCUACUUUACUCUAAAGGGCAAAAUUUAUUAUAAUAUUUUUUACAAAAUUUGCCACAUAUGCGCUAUAUGACAAAUUGUAUGCUAAUAGUACAUUAUUUCACAAAAUAAGAGUAUACCUAAAUUCAACCCGACUUAGAUCUAAACUCAACUCAGAUCCACGAUACUUUAUUUUGUCUCUAGAAUCUACUAGACCCUCCUUAUCGUUACUCACUCUACAUCUGCCACCCUCCUCACGAACAAACGAGAGAGAGGGAGAUCACAAGAGGAUUACGGCUCAAUUCAAAAAGAAUGUUGGCAGCAAUUGAUAUUAGGGUUAGGAUUCAAGGAAGAUGAGCCUAUCGAUGGUGGUGUUAGGGUUGUGGGAUUGUGGAUGGGAGAGGCAGAAAGGUUAUUCAGAGGUGGGGCAGAGAUGAAAGGAGUCUACAGGAAUGGGUUUUUUGAAGUAGGGAAGGGGGUAAAAUGUGUGAUGGAUAUGACUUUGGAGUGGUGGUGAGUUGUAAAGAUGAGAGAGACAAGUGUAGAAUAGAAAAUAAUUAUGAGGACAAAUGUACAAAAAUAGUAAAACUUAAGAGGUAAAAUGUAAUUAAAUUGGUAGAGGGAAAAGAAGCGUUAAGGAAAUAAAUUAAAUUUCAACCGGAUCUAUUAAUUUUUUUCUUUUCUUUUUUGUUUUGUUUCCUUUUCCUCCGCCAAAUUUUGGCCGUGUUUAGAUCAAUAAUUUAGUAAAGGAAAAGAAAAUAGAAAUAGAAAAGGUAGAUGAUUUAAUGGUCUCGAACGAUUUGAUCGUCGAUUUUUUUUUUCUCAUCAAAUCCGAAAUCCAAACACAGCUUUUAUAUCUAAUCAUUUUGAUUGCAGUGAUUAAAUUGGAUUAGAGUUCUUAUAUGAAAUAUAAAUUGCAAAAUCUUAGUCAAUACUUCACACUUGGUCUCCAUGGGCUCUUUCUCAAUCAGUCCUGAAGAACUUAUCCAAUUCUCCCAAAAUAAGCCCACAAUCGAGCCCGUCGGAAUAUAUAAUGGGCCAAGCAAGCAAACGAACGGUGUCGUUUGGUCGACUUUCCUUCUUCUACUCUCUCUCCCUUUCUCACUCUUACCUACCACGUGCGUACUCCUAUUAAAAAAACAUUUAUGGGGUGAUUCGUCUAGCAAUUAACAAAGAGACAAAGUUACAUUUUUUCCCCUUAAUUUUUCAAACACCUCAAAUCAUAUUAAUCUUAUAAACAUUUAUUAUAUUAUGUACACCCCUUUUGAGUAUUUUUAUUAUAGAAAAUAUAAUAAAAAUCGAUAACAUAUUAUUCAUAUGCUUCAAUUACAUGCUUUUAUGUCCAAAAUGUCUUUAUUUGUUUACGAAAAAUAAGACAACGCUCUAUAUAAAAACAUAUUAAUAUAGGUUAGGUUUUUUAUCCACAAUUGUUGUAUAAGCAUGUAUAUAAAGUAUUGACUUAUUUAUCCCCAAAUAAUAAUGAUAUUUUGAAUAUAAGAGUAUUUAAUUAAAAAGCAUGUGGAAACAACAAUCUGAUAAAUUUGUUGGGAUCAGCCCAUUGAGCCCAAAUUGGAAGCAAGCCCAAUUGGAAGAACAAGCCCAUGAGAUAAGCCCAAGUCCUAUGGACAAUUUAUAAUCUUCUCCUUCCUUCUAGAGGAAGAGAAGAGGUAGAAGAGAGAAGAGGAGAAAAAGAAGAGAGAGAUGCUUCUGACAGCUCUGUCAGGAUUUAAAGUGUGCGGUACGAGAAAGUCGAAAUCGCAGAUGGAGGAUCUCCAUGGUCAAGAAUGGAGGCACGAAUGAGCUCAGCCAUUGUGAGCUCAUCUUCUCUGCUCUGAGGCCUAUAAUUGAAAGGUUGCCAGCGAGGAGAGGAAGACGGGGUGGUGCAGAGAAAUGUAUCCUGGGGGAUUACUGAGAGCACACAGCUGUUGCUGUGUGGGCAGAGGGGCUGGGUUGUGGGUUGUGUGUUGGGUAGGAUUUGCUAUGGUGCUUUGAGAGCACAGAGGCAGAGAGGUUCGUGAGGUUGUGAGAGUAUGUAGGAGAGACAUAAAGAUAUAGAGAGUGAGAGAAGAGUGCUGAGAGGUGAUGGAGAUGAGUUCCUCACCUAUGGACUCAUUGUAAUUCAUUCCUGAGUUAAUGAAAAUUGCCGGUUCCUCUACGUGGACGUAGGCCAUUAUUGGCCGCGAACCCGUAAAUCGUCUUGGGUGUGUGGUUUGUUGAUAUUGGACAGAGAGUGGACUGGUAACUGUUUUGGGCAUAAACACUUGGUAUCAGAGCCAAUGUUCGAGUUGCCGAGAGUCAACGGAGUGCCACGGAGUCAAAAUUCGAAUUUGUGUAAUUCAAAGUGUCAAAACCGCUGUUUGAGAAUACCACCGUGUUCGUCUUUCGAUACGAGUCAGCACCAAACGAGUCAAAAAUCGGACGCCGGCCGAGCCUCACGACCGUUGAUUGAUCGGAGUUGAUCGGAAGCCGUGACCGGUUGACGAGCCAAGCGGCGUUUGACCGAAAGAAGCCGUUGGACACGAGCGAGCGGCCGAUUGUUGACCAAGCCGGUUGACCAGGCGGUUGACCUGUUGACCAAAAUAUAAAUUGCGCCUUUCAGUCCGGGAUUUAUUUAAUUAAAGAUGAUCCCGGAAGUUUGGAAAUUUGCAAUUUAGUCCUAAGUUCUUGAUUUUAAGUGUCAAUUUGGGUCCCGAAGUGUCUGAUUUGACAGAAAAAGCCCUUUCUGAGUGUUUCGGCCAUUCCGGUUCAUCCGCGAGGUUUGGUCUUCGGAUAUUUGCUUCUAUAUGGGAGAAGUAAGAUGGCGGAGUAGUUUGUGAUGCUCGAGCACGCUUUCAGCUACAGAUUACGCCCUAUGGAAACCAAGGAUAGGCCGGAGUAAUGAACAGGAAGACGAUUGGAGAUCAGACAAUGCAUUGGCACUAUGUGUUCCAUCAUGUAGCACGAUGAGAAUGAGUGUUGCGAUCAACAAUGCAUUGAACACAUGGUGUUCCCAACAUGGAGCCCGAUGAGAAUGAGUGUUCGGGUGUGGACCAAGUUGAGGAGAUGUACCGGGAGAAUACAUCUCGAACAAGCCUUAAUGAUGAUACUUGUGUGAAACUUCAAGAGGGACUACAGUGCGGAACAAACGGCGAGUUUUCCAGAAGCCACAGGAAAGGUCAAAAGAAGAGGCCAGAGAAGAGGUCCAAGAAGGAGGUCACAGAGGUCAGGAGAAGAGGUCAAAGAAGAGAACCGGCAGUGACGGCGGAGGGCACUUCCAGAGGUCGCACUUUAAGUGCUUUUGAUUUCGACCAGGAUGACAAGAAGAAUUGUCCAAGAACAAACACAAGAUCAUUCCCCCCUUCAAGGCAGCAACAACAUCAUGUUGCUUGGAUGAGAGUGACUACAGUGGGCGGAAUAAACAGUGAGUUCCGAGAGCCCAGGAAGAGGUCAAAAGAAGAGGCCAGAAGAAGAGUCUCAAGAAUGUCACAGAGGUCCCCAGGAGAAGAGGUCAAAGAAGAGAUACCGACGCCAGAUUCGUCGGAGGGGCAAACUCCAGAGGUCGCACUUUAAGUGCUUUAUUGCGACCAUUAUGUACAAGAAUAAGUUGUCCAAUGAAUCAAAACACAAGAUCAGUCUUUAGAGGCAGCAACACAACAAUGAUGGCUGUGUAUGGCGUGAUGUUCUCCUAGCAGUAUCGGCAGAUGAAGAGUCAGUUGGAUUUCUGAUUAGGCAUUGCUUACCAUUUGGCAGAGACUAGAGUGUUCUAUACACAUAUAGCAUUGCUAGGGACUUGUAACGUAUGGCUUAAUGCGCGAUUGUUGCAAAGGACAUUCCGGUUUCCGCUGGCAGACUGGGAUCAUGCAGUUGACGUGCGGGGUAAUGCAUAUUUCAAUUGAAUGGCACGAGUCAAAGCGAUGAAGCUUUGAAGCUAGUUGAUGAACACUCAGAGUUUUCAAGGAAAAACAGGAGAAGUCUGCAGAGAAUGAACUGGAAGGCUAUACCGACUGAGAGAGAAUGUCCAGACAGAGAGGCACUGUCCGACAUAGUCCAGUGGGUAUUAGCACUAUUAAUGGACGAAGGAAGCAAUCGUUGCCACAGAGGCACGCAAAGCAAGCACAGGAAGUAUCCUGAUGGAUGUACUUGAAGAAUCCAACAGUGGAACAGGAGUUGCAAAGAGAUACUUUGCGGAACAUGCGGAAAGUUUGGCCAAACACGAGAAGGAUGCUUGCAAACAGUUGCAGGAUGUCCAUGAGAUGCUCCGAGGAUUUUUUUUGGAUAUUUAUGAGACAGUUAGUCUGAGCACAACGACAGGCGCGAUUUUGUCUCCGAAACGAGUCUCUUUCGGUCAAGAUCAGUGGCGAUGAUAUCUCAGUUGUGCACAACAAGGCCGGGAGGAGAGGCUGGCAGUCACGACGACUUGCAAAGAGCGAGUAACUUUGCAGCGCACCCCGCAUGAGAGGGAGAAGGGCACCUAAGUGAAGAAGGUUUGCAGACACUUCGAUUGGAAGUGCAUCACUUCAGGGGGAAGUGAAGUGUCCGGAAUGAUGAGGCAACGUACUCGGAUUACUGUCUGAGAUGUUUAAGGGGGGCAGCUGAUUCAGAAGUUGUCGGGAAGGAUAAUUGAAGACAUCAGAUUACCCUCCAAUGGGCUGGAGGGGGAGAUUGUUGCGAAAUCCAGCCAUGACGCCCAAAUGGAGCCCAAGCCAAAAUGGAGCCAAAGCAAGCCCAAUUGGAAGCCAAGCCCAUGGGAGGGAAAGCCCAAGCCAUGGACUCAUUUAUAAUCCUCUCAUUACUUCUAGACGGAAGAGAAGAGGAGAAAGGAGAAGAGGAGAAAAGAAAAGAGAGAGAUGCUCUGACAGCUCGGUAAGAGAAAGCUGCUGGGCUAGCGAAGAAGUCGGCAGAUGGAGGCUCUCCAUGGUCAAGACUGGAGCACGAAUGAGCUCAGCCAUGAGCUCAUCUCUCUGCUCUGAGGCCUAUAAAUGCGAAGGUGCCAGAGAGAGGAAGAGGGGGGUGCAGAGAAGAAAUGUAAGCCUUGGGGGGAUUACUGAGAGCCACAGCUUAUUGUGAUGUGCAGAGGGGCUGGGUUUGUGUUUGGGUAGGAUUUGCUAUGGUGCUUUUGAGAGCACAGAGAGCAGGAGAAGGUUGCAGUGUGAGAGUUUGUAGAGGAGCAAGACUGAGAGAUAAAGCGAUGAGAGAGAGUGCUGGAGAGGUGAGUGGAGAUGAGUUCCUCCCUAUUGUACUCAUUGUAAUUUAUCCUGAGAUUAAUGAAUGAUGUUUUCUCUAAGUGACUUAGGGCAUGUUGCCGAACCACGUAAAUCUUGUCUUGUGGUGUGUGGUUUGAUGUUGGCAGAGUGACUGGUAACUGUUUUGAGUGCAAAAGAAUUUACAUCACUAUUUUAAAUAGAUAUGUAACGAAAGGGGUAGAUGUAAUAUAAUUAAAUAAUUAAGAGGACCAAUACGAUUCUAUUUUUAAAUAAGAGGGUAAAAAUGACAAAAAAAGAUAGUUUAAGGUGUUUAAGAAUUUUUUUUUUUGAGAGGUGUGUGAAGAUGUCACAAUAAAACAUUACAAUAUGGAUACGUAAUCAAUAUUGUAAAAAUAAUUUUUAAUAUUUUUUAUUCAGCUCAAUUAAUUAAUAAUGUUAAAAAAAUAUAAGUUCAACGAGCUCAAUAAAAAUAAGUUUGAAAUUAAUUCGCUCGAUGAACAAAUCAAACUCGAAUUUAUUUAAAAUUUUCAAAUUAAGUUUCAACUUUAACUCGUCUAAUGCCAUAGGCUGAAUUCCAUAGAGAGAAUCAGGAUGGGCCCCACGCCAAAUUUAUAAUAAAAUUGAAUUUCCGAGAAGCUUAUUCCUAAUUCAAUAAUCCCAGUCUUAUUAGGAAAAGAAAUGAGUACUAGAUGACUCGUCCGUCAUGUUGAAUGUGGGGGUAUGACGUGGAGCGAAGGUAUUGGUGGGUUAGGGUCAACGCUCCUAUCUAUCUAUCGUUGAAUGUUGUGGCGGCAAUGGCACAUAUCCUGGACCUCAAGAUCUGACUUCGAAGAGAGAGAACGUGUUCCACCUUGUCUCUGUCUUUUUCUUUGUUGGUUGGCUAUUCGAUCCUUACAUAACUCAUAGACACCAACAAAAAAAUUCUAAACCCCACAGAGAUAAAGAAGAAGAAGAAGAAGAAGAAGAAGAAGAAAACAAAGCAAGAAUCCGAAGCUAUGGGCUGUUGUGACGACUGCGAAUGCAGGCCAUUGGGGCUUUCUCCUCGGCCUCCCCUCGCCUUCCUUCUAUCUUUCCUCUCACUCAUCGCACGUAUCGGGGAUCGUCGGUAGUCCUCUCUCUCUCUUCCUAUUUAUUUGGAUUUACUUUAUGUUCCUCAAAGCUACCUUUGAUUUGUGAUUUGUGAGGUAGUGGCGCUUUGACUUGCGUUGUGCCAUAUUGUUGCUUGUGCGUGACGGUGAUCGUGGAGCUAGCUCUGGGCUUGAUCAAGGCUCCGAUUCAUGUAAUGAAGUGGUUCACCGAGCAAAUACCUUGUUAGAUCCCACUUUAGUUCUUCGGAUCCCAUGCUUGUGGUUCUAUUUUCUUGUUCAUUAGAGAGAGAGAGAGAGAUCUUUGUUGUUCGUUUGUGAUUAGUAUUUUGUUUCUGGGUACAAGUUUGCUAUUGUUUGGCUGGAAUGAAUUAUUUGUCCAUAGUUUUCUUAUGAUUGCUAUGAAUCAAGAAUAAUAAUUUACGCGGAAUAACAGUUUUACGACUUAUUCUAUUCGAUUGUUUGGGUAUUUAAGAUUUUUCUCAUUUUUUAAUUGAAAUUUCUUACUUUUCAAUCCUCUAAUUAUUUCCAAUCCUAUUAAUUAGAGGGAUUGGAAAUGUAAUUACAAAAAACAAAAACAGA
rnacentral:lncRNA from 1 species